rnacentral:rRNA from 1 species
CGGUUGAUCCUGCCGGACCCGACUGCUAUCGGAGGGAGACUAAGCCAUGCGAGUUGAACGCUUUUCGACUGCGGGAAGCGUGGCGAACGGCUCAGUAACACGUAGUCAACCUGCCCUAGAGACUCGAACAACCCCGGGAAACUGGGAUUAAUUCGUGAUAAACCAAAGCUCCUGGAAUGGGCUUCGAUUCAAAGGAAUGUGCAGGUAUGUUCUGCACGUUUGCUCUAGGAUGGGACUGCGGCCGAUCAGGUUGUUGGUGGGGCAACGGCCUACCAAACCUAUAACCGGUACGGGCCGUGAGAGCGGGAGCCCGGAGAUGGAUACUGAGACAAGGAUCCAGGCCCUACGGGGCGCAGCAGUUGCGAAAACUCCACAAUGCACGAAAGUGUGAUGGGGCUACCCCGAGUGCCGUCCGCUGAGGAUGGCUUUUCUCUGCUGUAAGGAGGCGGAGGAAUAAGGAGAGGGCAAGUCUGGUGUCAGCCGCCGCGGUAAUACCAGCUCUCCGAGUGGUGGGGACGAUUAUUGGGCCUAAAGCGUCCGUAGCCGGCUUGACAAGUCUUCUGUUAAAUCCAGCAACCUAAUUGUUGGACUGCGGGAGAUACUGUCAGGCUAGAGAACGGGAGAGGUCGACGGUACUCUCAGGGUAGGAGUGAAAUCCUAUAAUCCUGGGAGGACCACCAGUGGCGUAGGCUGUCGGCUAGAACGUGUCCGACGGUGAGGGACGAAAGCUUGGGGAGCGAACCGGAUUAGAUACCCGGGUAGUCCAAGCUGUAAACUAUGCGGGCUAGGUGUUGACGUGGCUACGUGCCACUUCAGUGCCGCAGGGAAGCCGUUAAGCCCGCCGCCUGGGGAGUACGGUCGCAAGGCUGAAACUUAAAGGAAUUGGCGGGGGAGCACCACAAGGGGUGAAGCUUGCGGUUUAAUUGGAGUCAACGCCGGGAACCUUACCGGGGACGACAGCAGAAUGAAAGCCAGAUUAAAGGUCUUGCUAGACGAGCUGAGAGGAGGUGCAUGGCCGUCGCCAGUUCGUGCCGUGAGGUGUCCUGUCAAGUCAGGCAACGAUCGAGACCCACAUCCAUUGUUGCGGCCUCGGAGGUUUCUCCGAGGAGCAAGACUGUGGAGACUGCCGCCGAUAAGGCGGAGGAAGGAGUGGGCCACGGCAGGUCAGUAUGCCCCGAAUUCCCCGGGCCACACGCGAGCUGCAAUGGCAGGGACAAUGAGCUUCCAACUCCGAGAGGAGGAGGUAAUCCCUAAACCCUGUCUCAGUUUGGAUUGAGGGCUGCAACCCGCCCUCAUGAAUAAUGGAAUCCCUAGUAAUCG